UUGGAACAGGACUUCCCUCAUGGGGAAUAUCAGGAUCAGAAUUGGAAUCAGAAAAGUUGGUGCAGUUAUUUGGAUACCUAUCUGUUGAAUCCUGGGAGCCUUUAUUCUCUGGUAAGGCAACCUUGUCGAUACAAUCAGAAUUGUUACUUUCUACUUCAGAUAUUUUGUAGCCGAGGACAUUAAAAUGGAGCUCAUUUGCUUUACCUAACACACGAGAAAGGCUAAAGACAAAUUUAACCAGAUCACCUUUGCUGCUUGCAACCUCAUUAUAUUUGCCAUAAAAGUCAUCCAAUGUUUCACCUAGUCCCACACCAUCUACAGAUAUUCCUUGCACAACCUUGGCCUCUUUGCCCAAAACUGUUACAAAGUCAUGAAUCUGAGUGAUAGCAGCAACUAAUUCCUGGCUUAGAGCACACAAAGUCUCC
rnacentral:lncRNA from 1 species